GAGUUUGAUCCUGGCUCAGGAUGAACGCUAGCGGCAGGCUUAACACAUGCAAGUCGAGGGGUAACAGAGAGAAGCUUGCUUCUUUGCUGACGACCGGCGAACGGGUGCGUAACGCGUAUAGAAUCUGCCUUGUACAGGAGGAUAGCCUUUGGAAAUGAAGAUUAAUACUCCAUAAUAUUGGGAAGUGGCAUCACUAUCUAAUUAAACAUUUAUGGGUACAAGAUGACUAUGCGUCCUAUUAGCUAGAUGGUAAGGUAACGGCUUACCAUGGCAACGAUAGGUAGGGGGUCUGAGAGGAUUAUCCCCCACACUGGUACUGAGACACGGACCAGACUCCUACGGGAGGCAGCAGUGAGGAAUAUUGGUCAAUGGAGGCAACUCUGAACCAGCCAUGCCGCGUGCAGGAAGACUGCCCUAUGGGUUGUAAACUGCUUUUAUACAGGAAGAAACAGUCGUACGUGUACGGCCUUGAC
rnacentral:rRNA from 1 species